AGUGAACGCUGGCGGUAGGCCUAACACAUGCAAGUCGAACGGCAGCACAGUAAGAGCUUGCUCUUACGGGUGGCGAGUGGCGGACGGGUGAGGAAUACAUCGGAAUCUACUUUUUCGUGGGGGAUAACGUAGGGAAACUUACGCUAAUACCGCAUACGACCUACGGGUGAAAGCAGGGGAUCUUCGGACCUUGCGCGAUUGAAUGAGCAGAUGUCGGAUUUGCUAGUUGGCGGGGUAAAGGCCCACCAAGGCGACGAUCCGUAGCUGGUCUGAGAGGAUGAUCAGCCACACUGGAACUGAGACACGGUCCAGACUCCUACGGGAGGCAGCAGUGGGGAAUAUUGGACAAUGGGAGCAAGCCUGAUCCAGCCAUACCGCGUGGGUGAAGAAGGCCUUCGGGUUUUAAAGCCCUUUUGUUGGGAAAGAAAAGCAGCAGGUUAAUACCCCGCUGUUCUGACGGUACCCAAAGAAUAAGCACCGGCUAACUUCGUG
rnacentral:rRNA from 1 species